rnacentral:rRNA from 1 species
UACGGAGGGUGCAAGCGUUAUCCGGAAUCAUUGGGUUUAAAGGGUCCGCAGGCGGACUUUCAAGUCAGUGGUGAAAUCUCACAGCUUAACUGUGAAACUGCCAUUGAAACUGUUAGUCUUGAAUUCGGUCGAAGUGGGCGGAAUAUGUCAUGUAGCGGUGAAAUGCUUAGAUAUGACAUAGAACACCGAUAGCGAAGGCAGCUCACUAGGCCUGGAUUGACGCUCAGGGACGAAAGCGUGGGGAGCGAACAGG